GCAUGGCAAGCUGCAGAGCUGCCUGGAGGAGCGUGCUGCUGCACAGAAACGAGAGGAGGAAGCUCUUCAGGCCAAGGAGGAGGCAUCCAGGCAGCUGGAGAAGACCUUGGUGACCCUGCAGGACACGCAGGCUCAGCUGGAGAAGCUGACAGUGGCCAACUCACUCCUGGGCAAAGACCUGAGCUCCAUGGGGAUAAAUCUGAGCAGUGUGGAGCAGGAGCGGGAUGCGCUGCAGCAGGAGAACGAGAAGCAGCGGGAGGAGAUGGCCCAGCUGGCACAGGAGAGGAACUCCCUGCAGCGGGAGUGCGAGGAGCUCUGCCAGGAGCUGCGG
rnacentral:lncRNA from 1 species